GAUGAACGCUGGCGGCGUGCCUAAUACAUGCAAGUCGAGCGAACGGACGAGAAGCUUGCUUUUCUGAUGUUAGCGGCGGACGGGUGAGUAACACGUGGAUAACCUACCUAUAAGACUGGGAUAACUUCGGGAAACAGGUGCUAAUAACGGAUAAUAUUUUGAACCGCAGGGUUCAAAAGUGAAAGACGGUCUGGCUGUCACUUAUAGAUGGAUCCGCGCUGCAUUAGCUAGUUGGUAAGGUAACGGCUUACCAAGGCAACGAUGCGUAGCCGACCUGAGAGGAUGAUCAGCCACACUGGAACUGAGACACGGUCCAGACUCCUACGGGAGGCAGCAGUAGGGAAUCUUCCGCAAUGGGCGAAAGCCUGACGGAGCAACGCCGCGUGAGUGAUGAAGGUCUUCGGAUCGUAAAACUCUGUUAUUAGGGAAGAACAUAUGUGUAAGUAACUGUGCACAUCUUGACGGUACCUAAUCAGAAAGCCCCGGCUAACUACGUG
rnacentral:rRNA from 1 species